GGGUUAAGUCGGGAAAGUGAAGAAGAAGCGGAAGUGAAUGAAACCAAACCAUACCAACACGCGGGAGCAGCUGUUUCGUCAGCUGAAAGGUUCAGGCGACGAAUGAAUUACGGAAGAAAAAGUUCAGAUGACACUACCAGCUCCAGUAGAACCAAUAGUGCUAGUAAUAAAAGGUUAACAAAAGAAGAAAAAAAUAUGAGUAAUAAGGAAUCUGAAUAUAGAUCCAGAUGGAAUGAUGACAAAGAAUCAAAAUAUAAAGAAGCUGGGAGCUCUCCCAUAAGAUCAAGGU